rnacentral:snoRNA from 1 species
ACCUUCUUGUUUAAACUCUGUUCUAAAAUAACAUGUCUUAAUAUUUGUAAUAAAGUUAGAAUAAACACAAGAAGAAAAACUACACCGAACAUUAGAAAUAUUGAAAUGAACUUCUUUCUUAUUUCUAGGGUACUUUAUUCUAAGAUUUGUAGAAUCU